UACGUGAGUGGCAAACGUUAUCCGGAAUCACUGGGCGUAAAGCGUCCGCAGGGGGCAUAGCAAGUGUGCUGUUAAAUCUACUGGCUCAACUGGUAGGCCGCAGCGCAAACUGCUGUGCUAGAGGGAUGUAGAGGUGAGCGGAAUUCCCGGAGUAGGAGUAAUAUCCGUAGAUACCGGGAGGAACACCAAUAGCGAAGGCAGCUCACUGGACAUUUCCUGACCCUCAGGGACGAAAGCGUGGGGAGCGAACCCG
rnacentral:rRNA from 1 species